AUAAGUGAUUAUUCCUUAGAUGUGACAGGCAAAAUAUUUUAUAAAAAAAUUAAGGGAUAAUUGCCUAUAUACCUUUCAUGCGUUCGGAAAUAUCCGAUCUACCCCUACUUUUUUUUUCUUUCCAAAAUGUCCCUCAUACGUUCCACCGUUAUUCCAAAAUACCCCCGCAGUUAUCCCCUGUUAGCUUAACUCGGGUUAAACAUGGGUUAAAUCUAUACUAGAGUUAAAACCUGAACAAAAUACCUAUUUUGCCCCUACUUUAUUAUAGUAAUCCCUAAGAUUAUCCUCUCUUUCUUCCCCAAUUUUGUCGCCACCACCGGCCGACUCCUCCGCCACCACCGGCCGGCUCCUCCGCCUCUACCUCACCUCCUCGCCUCAUCUCCUCCCAGACCACCACCACCUCCCACACCUCCACCUCCAACACCACCCAUCUCGUCGCUCUCGUUGUCCUACUCCGUCGCCACUCUCGUCGUCGUCGUCGUCCUCUUCCUCCGCCGCCUUGGCCGGCGCCGGGAGCAAGAGGGCCGCAGCGACGAUCCCAUCUCUCGCCGCUCUCGUCGUCCUUCUCCUCAUCCGCUGCCUUGGCCGGCGCCAGGAGCAAGAGGGCCGCAGCUCCAUCGGACCCCUGCACGCCUUCUGCUCCGAAUCCGGCUGAAGGGUAAAUAAGAAAAGUAUUUGCUAUAUGAAGGGUAUAUAAGACAAGUUUGUUACGGUACAAGGGUAUAUUGGAAUGGGCAAAAUGGUAAUUUUUCAGAGCUAACGGCAGCUCACUAACGGAACUUAACUCUAGGGGUAUUUUAGAAAAACUUGGAACAUAAGAAGGGUAUUUUCAAUAUUAGCCUUCUAAGAGGGGUAAAUAAGAAAACGAGGAACUUUUCAGGGGUAUAUAGGCAAUUGCCCCAAAAAUUAAAUAAGUAAUUUUUUUGGAUGAUUUUAAUAAAGAAAGAA
rnacentral:lncRNA from 1 species